rnacentral:lncRNA from 1 species
UAUUGCUGCAUCAACAAACUCUUUUAUCCUAAGAUGUUUCUCUUUUCAUCAAUUCAAAGUUCAAUAUUUGUGAUAUCAAAAGUUGGACAUGAGGAGUAUCAGUAAUGUUCUUUAAGAUUCUCUCUUACUUUGACCUUCAUAGAGAAACUUUGUAUACGAAGACUUUGUUGGCAUGGUUAUAUCAAGUCUCCUAGAAUCGUCCAUAUGAAUCGUAGGCUUUUUUAUCUUUUUUUUUGUCAGGGUAUGGGAGGGGUUUGAGAGAUGGCAAUUAUUAAGGGUGAGAAACUUGUGACAGUCUACAUGUUCAUUGUUUUGAGAAAAUUUUGUCUUGGUUCAUAUAGAGC